AAAUUUGAGAGUAUGAUCCCGGCUCAGAAUGAACGCUGGCGGUAUGCUUAAUACAUGCAAGUCGAACGAGAAAGUCUAGCAAUAGAUGAGUAAAGUGGCGUACGGGUGAGUAAUGUAUGGGAAUCUGCCCCGUGGUGAGGAAUAAGCGCUGGAAACGGCGUCUAAUACCACAUAAUAUCGGAAUAGUUGGUUCUGUUCCGAGAAAGGAUUGAUCGCAAGAUUAAUUUGCCAUGGGAUGAGCCCAUAUUGGAUUAGCUAGUUGGUGGGGUAAAGGCCUACCAAGGCGAUGAUCCAUAGCUGGUCUGAGAGGGUGAUCAGCCACACUGGGACUGCGACACGGCCCA
rnacentral:rRNA from 1 species